GGACGCAUAGCUCAGUUGGUUAGAGUGCCGUGUUCACAUCGCGGAGGUCGCAGGUUCGAUUCCUGCUGCGUCCA
rnacentral:tRNA from 1 species